CCGAGUUAUACAACUCAUCAACCCUGUGAACAUACCUAAACGUUGCUUCGGCGGGAUUGCCCAGGCCGUCGCCCCUGUACCAACGGCGCCCCCGCCGAGGACCAUUACAACUCUUGUUCCUCUUCUUAUACAUUGAUCUUUCUCGCGCUCCUAGCGAGCGUUCGAAAUAAUCA
rnacentral:misc_RNA from 1 species